UGAACGCUAGCGACAGGCUUAACACAUGCAAGUCGAGGGGUAACAGGGUGUAGCAAUACACCGCUGACGACCGGCGCACGGGUGAGUAACGCGUAUGCAACCUGCCUUUGACAGAGGGAUAGCCCAUGGAAACGUGGAUUAAUACCUCAUAGUCUCUUUUUCCUUCCUGGGGAAUAGAGUAAAACGAGAGUGGUCAAAGAUGGGCAUGCGUCCUAUUAGGCAGUUGGCGGGGUAACGGCCCACCAAACCGAUGAUAGGUAGGGGUUCUGAGAGGAAGGUCCCCCACACUGGUACUGAGACACGGACCAGACUCCUACGGGAGGCAGCAGUGAGGAAUAUUGGUCAAUGGUCGAGAGACUGAACCAGCCAAGUCGCGUGAGGGAAGACUGCCCUAUGGGUUGUAAACCUCUUUUCUACUGGGAGAAUAAGCCUUAUGUAUAAGGUGAUGACAGUACAGUAGGAAUAAGCAUCGGCUAACUCCGUGCCAGCAGCCGCGGUAAUACGGAGGAUGCGAGCGUUAUCCGGAUUUAUUGGGUUUAAAGGGUGCGUAGGCGGCUUUAUAAGUUAGUGGUAAAAUUUCGGAGCUUCACUCCGGUCCGCCAUUAAAACUGUAGAGCUAGAGAAUGGACGAGGUAGGCGGAAUAAGUUAAGUAGCGGUGAAAUGCAUAGAUAUAACUUAGAACUCCGAUAGCGAAGGCAGCUUACCAGACCAUAACUGACGCUGAUGCACGAGAGCGUGGGUAGCGAACAGGAUUAGAUACCCUGGUAGUCCACGCCGUAAACGAUGCUCACCGGCCCUUAGCGAUAAGACAGUUAGGGGUUAAUUGAAAGAAUUAAGUGAGCCACCUGGGGAGUACGUCGGCAACGAUGAAACUCAAAGGGAAUUGACGGGGGCCCGCACAAGCGGAGGAACAUGUGGUUUAAUUCGAUGAUACGCGAGGAACCUUACCUGGGUUUAAAUGUAUAUUGCAUAAUCUGGAAACAGUUUUUCUCUUCGGAGCUAUAUACAAGGUGCUGCAUGGUUGUCGUCAGCUCGUGCCGUGAGGUGUCGGGUUAAGUCCCAUAACGAGCGCAACCCUUACCGUUAGUUGCUAGCAUGUAAUGAUGAGCACUCUAGCGGGACUGCCACCGUAAGGUGAGAGGAAGGGGGGGAUGACGUCAAAUCAGCACGGCCCUUACAUCCAGGGCGACACACGUGUUACAAUGGCCAUAACAGCGGGUAGCUACCGGGUGACCGGAUGCAAAUCUCGAAAAUUGGUCUAAGUUCGGAUUGGAGUCUGCAACCCGACUCCAUGAAGUUGGAUUCGCUAGUAAUCGCGCAUCAGCCAUGGCGCGGUGAAUACGUUCCCGGGCCUUGUACACACCGCCCGUCAAGCCAUGGAAGCUGGGAGUACAUGAAGUCCGUAACCGCGAGGAUCGGCCUAGGGUA
rnacentral:rRNA from 1 species